ACUGGGGGCAGUGGUGCACGCCUGUAAUCCCAGCAGCUCGGGAAGUUGAGGCAGGAGGAUCAAAAGUUCAAAUCCAGCCUCAGCAAAAGUGAAGCGCUAAACAACUUAGUGAGAUCCUGUCUCUA
rnacentral:sRNA from 1 species